UACCAGCACCCCGAGUGGUCGGGACGUUUAUUGGGCCUAAAGCAUCCGUAGCCGGUUCUACAAGUCUUCCGUUAAAUCCACCUGCUUAACAGAUGGGCUGCGGAAGAUACUAUAGAGCUAGGAGGCGGGAGAGGCAAGCGGUACUCGAUGGGUAGGGGUAAAAUCCGUUGAUCCAUUGAAGACCACCAGUGGCGAAGGCGGCGUUGCCAGAACGCGCUCGACGGUGAGGGAUGAAAGCUGGGGGAGCAAACCGG
rnacentral:rRNA from 1 species